AGGGGAAUAGUUUAAUGGUAAAACUACAGUCUUCAAAAUUGUCAUUGUGGGUUCGAAUCCUGCUUCCCUUG
rnacentral:tRNA from 1 species